UGGUGGAGUGAUUUGUCUGCUUAAUUGCGAUAACGAACGAGACCUUAACCUGCUAAAUAGCCCGGCCCGCGUUUGCGGGUCGCAGGCUUCUUAGAGGGACUAUCGGAUUUCAAGACGAUGGAAGUUUGAGGCAAUAACA
rnacentral:rRNA from 1 species